GGGGACGUGCUCCGCGGAAGAGACUGGCUGUACGCCAUGAUGACCAGCAGAGUCAUUUCCUACCACUUGUGUCAGAGUGAAACCUUGAGGGAAGAACCGCCUGUCUACGCACUCCCGAUGAAAAAACUGACGCCACAGAUGGGCUGCACAUUCCAUUCCGUGUAUCUGCCACGUGUGUGUUAUUGUGAUCUCUGGUGUCAAAUAGAAAGAAUAUUUAGCAGAUAAUUUUUUAUUACUCAUCUUCUCACAUGGUUCAGAGCCAGCAGGUUCUUUUACCGUUUUUCCCCUCACGAUCAUUGAGCACUCGCUGGAUCUGGUACUCAAGUGUGAACUCUCUAACUUAAGGCCCUGCUGGGGUUCGUCUUUAGUUAGGACAGAUGAAUUGUUAAAGUUCUAAAAGCAGUUCUAAAAGCAGUCUUCAUUCUUGUCUUAACCUUUUCUGACACGUUGGGUUCACUUUAUAGUUCACAAAAAAAAAAAAAAGCAAUCUACUUUUUUGUUGACUUGGCUCAUUUUAUGAUGAAGCUUCGGGCCUCCAUCACUGCUCCUUUUAUCCAGCAAACACUUCCGGGUGGCAUGGCAGGAGCCAAGUAUUGUGCCAGGUACUAGCAACAUGGAGUUGAACCAAGGCUCAUGAUUCACUUGAGAAGAUAAAUUUAUUAACAAGUUGUUACAGUCAAUGGUGACACUGCUGUAAUAGAAACUUAUAUCCAGUGCCAUGGGAGGCCAGACAGGAGAGCCACUGAGAUUUAUAGAUGGCUCCACCGAGACAGUGGCAUUUGAAUUAGAUUUUGAGGACUGAUUGAGACUGGCCCAGAAGAGAAGCAUUUGAGGAUGAGAAGGAGAUGAGUUUGUGAAAAGCAAAAUUCGUAGAGAUAUAAAAGAGCUUGGGCC